rnacentral:rRNA from 1 species
AUUUGGAGAGGAUGCUUCUGGCGCGGCGCCGUCCGAGUUCCUUGGAACAGGACGCCACAGAGGGUGAGAGCCCCGUACGGACGGACGCCCAGCCUAUACGAAGCUCCUUCGACGAGUCGAGUAGUUUGGGAAUGCUGCUCAAAAUGGGAGGUAAAUUUCUUCUAAAGCUAAAUACCGGCCAGAGACCGAUAGCGCACAAGUAGAGUGAUCGAAAGAUGAAAAGCACUUUGAAAAGAGGGUUAAAAAGUACGUGAAAUUGUUGAAAGGGAAGCGCCUGUGACCAGACUUGCGCCCCGCGGACCACCCGGCGUUCUCGCCGGUGCACUCCGCGGGGCGCAGGCCAGCAUCGGUUCUCCUGGGGGGACAAAGGCCGCGGGAACGUAGCUCCUUCGGGAGUGUUAUAGCCCGCGGCGGCAUGCCCCCGGGGGGACCGAGGACCGCGCUUCGGCAAGGAUGCUGGCGUAAUGGUCACCAGCGACCCGUCUUGAAACACGGACCAAGGAGUCAAGCAUUGGGGCGAGUGUUUGGGUGACAAACCCGCACGCGAAAUGAAAGUAAACGCAGGUGAGAGCUUCGGCGCAUCAUCGACCGAUCCUGAAGUCUUCGGAUGGAUUUGAGUAAGAGCCCCAACGCUUGGACCCGAAAGAUGGUGAACUAUGCCUGUAUAGGGUGAAGCCAGAGGAAACUCUGGUGGAGG